rnacentral:lncRNA from 10 species
AAGAACUCAGGAACCACUGAACACAGGUUCAAAUGACAGCCCAAGGAAGCAUUCACUGGGAAGUCUGCAAGCCCAUGUUCCUAAGAGUGCUCACCUAUCAGCCUCCUUGGGGCUGUACCCACCUGAGCAGAAGCUUUCUUGCCCACUUGAUUUCAUACAAGAUAAUCAUCGAUUCACUUAACAUGCAACUACUGAGUGCCCACUGCAUACUUGACCUGGUGCUGGGCUUUAAGGAUACAGGAGGGUUAAGAUGACCAUGCACAGAUCUAUCUUUCUCAGACUCCCUUGCCGCCGGAGGUCCAGAUGCGACUUUCUUUUUUCUGCUCGUCACAUGCAUGGAGCCGGAAUUAAGCCAGGGGAUAGGCAGGCUGCAGGGCAGCAUCAACAUUGCUGGUGUGGACCAGGACCAAGGUGGCUGCAGAGGCUCCAUCAGUAGGGAUGACUUCCUGACUCCACGGGCAGCUUCCCACAUCCACAGUUUUCUGACUCUGGCAGAGGCAGCAGAAUCACUGGGGCAUCAGUUCUGGAGUAGGCAACAGACAUUGUCAGCAUCCUAUCAGUCGCAUCGUAUCCCGAGGUGCUGGAAAAUGUUUAAUCAUCAUGUUUUUGAAGGGGAGACAAAUCCCUGAUGGCACAUACCCAUUUCCAUGGUGUAAAUAUUCCCCCAGAUGGCUGAUGUACACAGGCAACAUACUGUAUUUUCACCAUAUAAAUAUGAUAGAUGGAAAUAACCUCAAGACCAUGCAGAAUGACAAAGAGUAGUAAAAUAAUUCGAUGAGAUUUGAGCAUUUGUUACCUUUGUCCUCCAUAUAAUUUAUUUAAUUACAAGCUUGUAAAAUGUAAUUUUUAAUAAUGACUAUGUUUAACAACCAGCUAGCAAAAAGUGUUGAAAAGCUGACAAUCAGCCCUUGGGAGCCCGUGUGAGCUGACUCCAGCACAUCACUGAUUCCAGCCCACCCUGGAGGUCACUGGCAGGCAUUUCCUUCUGUUCCAAAGCCUUCUGCGACUCUCUGCCUAAUGGUGUUCUCUGGCUGCAGCGGCACGAUGGGCCCACACCAGGGGCACUCCAAAGUGCCAGAGAAUUAAUGCCCAGAAGAGACUCCACCAAUGCAGGCAUGGAAGGUGGUGAAUAAAUAUGCAGCCCCACACUCUAAAUGUGCAAUGGUACAUUUUUGAAAUGUGUUCCUCAGUUUCUCAGACAGCCCUGUGGGGAUUGUGGCCCAGGUACCCACAGAAAUCACCUACUCAUUAAUGAACCUUUUUUUGGUUUUCCUCCCUUUUCUGUCUCACUU